UCUCCGUUGGUGAACCAGCGGAGGGAUCAUUACAGGACUCGCAAGACUCCUACAACCCUGUGAACUUAACUAUAAGCACGUUGCUUCGGCGGGUGUCUCGGAGGGGGUUCUCCCUCCCGAGACGCUAAACUCGCCGGCAGCCUACUAUACUCUGUCUCUUUGCGUUGGCAUCUCGAGUACAAUCAAACAAGUUAAAACUUUCAACAACGGAUCUCUUGGUUCUG
rnacentral:misc_RNA from 1 species